rnacentral:rRNA from 1 species
AGUGAACGCUGGCGGUAGGCCUAACACAUGCAAGUCGAACGGCAGCACAGUAAGAGCUUGCUCUUACGGGUGGCGGGUGGCGGACGAGUGAGGAAUACAUCGGAAUCUACUUUUUCGUGGGGGAUAACGUAGGGAAACUUACGCUAAUACCGCAUAUGACCUACGGGUGAAAGCAGGGGAUCUUCGGACCUUGCGCGGUUGAAUGAGCGGCUGCGGGGUUAGCUAGUUGGCGGGGUAAAGGCCCACCAAGGCGACGAUCCGUAGCUGGUCUGAGAGGAUGGUCAGCCACAUUGGAACGGAGCCACGGUCCAGACUCCUACGGGAGGCAGCAGUGGGGAAUAUUGGACAAUGGGCGCAAGCCUGAUCCAGCCAUACCGCGUGGGUGAAGAAGGCCUUCGGGUUGUAAAGACCUUUUGUUGGGAGAGAAAAGCAGCAGGUUAAUACCCCGCUGUUCUGACGGUACCCAAAGAAUAAGCACCGGCUAACUUCGUG